UGAAUGCAUCAUACGGAGUCGCAAAAGAA
rnacentral:sRNA from 1 species